GCUCACAUGGCUCAGCGGUAGAGCACUUCCUUGGUAAGGAAGAGGUCCCGGGUUCGAUUCCCGGUGUGAGCUCCA
rnacentral:tRNA from 1 species